rnacentral:rRNA from 1 species
AGUGAACGCUGGCGGUAGGCCUAACACAUGCAAGUCGAACGGAAGCACAGUAAGAGCUUGCUCUUACGGGUGGCGAGUGGCGGAAGGGAGAGGAAUAUAUCGGAAUCUACUUUUUCGUGGGGGAUAACGUAGGGAAACUUACGCUAAUACAGCAUACGACCUACGGGUGAAAGCAGGGGAUAUUCGGACCUUGCGCGAAUGAAUGAGCCGAUGUCGGAUUAGCUAGUUGGCGGGGUAAAGGCCCACCAAGGCGACGAUACGUAGCUGGUCUGAGAGGAUGGUCGGCCGCACUGGAACUUAGACACGGUCCAGACUCCUACGGGAGGCAGCAGUGUGGAAUAUUGGACAAUGGGCGCAAGCCUUAUCCAGCCAUACCGCGUGUGUGAAGAAGGCCUUCGGGUUGUAAUGCCCUUUUUUUGGGAAUGAAAAGCAUCAGGUUAAUACCCCGCUGUUCUGACGGUACCCAGAGAAUAAGCACCGGCUAACUUCGUG